rnacentral:rRNA from 1 species
CCCUUAGAUGUUCUGGGCUGCACGCGCGCUACACUGAUGCGAUCAACAAGUUUUUCCUAUGUCGAUAGACACGGGUAAUCUUUUGAACUCGCAUCGUGAUGGGGAUAGAUUAUUGUAAUUAUUAAUCUUCAACGAGGAAUUCCUAGUAGGUGCAAAUCAUCAGUUUGCAUCGAUUACGUCCCUGCCCUUUGUACACACCGCCCGUCGCUGCUACCGAUUGGUUGAUCUGGUGAAUUAUUCGGACUGCCGGCUGAAGGGGUUUCCCCAUCUGCCAGCGGAAAGUCUUGUUAACCCUAUCAACUAGAGGAAGCAGAAGUCGUAACA